rnacentral:rRNA from 1 species
AUUGAACGCUGGCGGCAUGCUUUAAACAUGCAAGUCGAACGGUAACAGGCCGCAAGGUGCUGACGAGUGGCGAACGGGUGAGUAAUGCAUCGGAACGUUCCCAGUCGUGGGGGAUAACUACUCGAAAGAGUAGCUAAUACCGCAUACGAUCUAUGGAUGAAAGCGGGGGACCGUAAGGCCUCGCGCGAUUUGAUCGGCCGAUGUCAGAUUAGGUAGUUGGUGGGGUAAAGGCUCACCAAGCCAACGAUCUGUAUCUGGUCUGAGAGGACAACCAGCCACACUGGGACUGAGACACGGCACAGACUCCUACGGGAGGCAGCAGUGGGGAAUUUUGGACAAUGGGCGCAAGCCUGAUCCAGCAAUGCCGCGUGCAGGAAGAAGGCCUUCGGGUUGUAAACUGCUUUUGUACGGAACGAAACGGCUCUGGUUAAUACCCGGGGCUAAUGACGGUACCGUAAGAAUAAGCACCGGCUAACUACGUG